rnacentral:rRNA from 1 species
GACGAAGGGGGCAAGCGUUGUUCGGAAUUACUGGGCGUAAAGCGCGUGUAGGUGGUUGCCACAGUCAGGUGUGAAAGCCUUGAGCUCAACUCAAGAAAUGCACUUGAUACUGGGCGGCUAGAGGACCGGAGAGGAUAGUGGAAUUCCCAGUGUAGUGGUGAAAUACGUAGAGAUUGGGAAGAACACCAGUGGCGAAGGCGGCUAUCUGGACGGUUUCUGACACUAAGACGCGAAAGCGUGGGGAGCAAAC